rnacentral:rRNA from 1 species
GGGCUGCAGUCAAGAAUCUUCCUCAAUGGACGAAAGUCUGAAGGAGCAAUGCCGCGUGAUCGAUGAAGCUCUUCGGAGUGUAAAGAUCUUUUAUCAGGGAAGAAUCCGUGACGGUACCUGAUGAAUAAGUCACUGCUAACUUCGUGCCAGCAGCAGCGGUAAUACGAAGGUGGCAAGCGUUACCCGGAUUAACUGGGCGUAAAGCGUCCGCAGAUGGUCUGAUUAGUUUUUAGUUAAAUCCGAAGGCUCAACCUUCGGACCGCUAAAAAUACUAUUAGACUAGAGGCUGGGAGAGGCAAGCAGAAUUACUGGUGUAGUAGUUAAAUGCGUUAAUAUCAGUAAGAAUACCAAAAGCGAAGGCAGCUUGCUAGAACAGUCCUGACAUUCAGGGACGAAAGCGUGGGGAGCGAAUGGGAUUAGAUACCCGUGUAGUC